AGUGAACGCUGGCGGUAGGCCUAACACAUGCAAGUCGAACGGCAGCACCGUAAGAUCUUGCUCUUACGGGGGGCGGAUGGCGGGCGGGAGAGGAAUAUAUCGGAAUCUACUUUUUCGUGUGGGAUAACGUAGCUAAACUUACUCUAAGACCGCAUACCACCUACCGGUGAAAGCAGGGGAUCUUCUGGCCUUGCGCGAUUGGAUUAGCCGAUUUUGGAUUAGCUAGUUGGGUGGGUAAUUGCCCACCAAGGCGACGAUCCGUAGCUGGUCUGAGAGGAGGAUCAGCCACACUGGAAGUGAGACACGGUCCAGACGCCUAAGGGAGGCACCAGAGGGGAACAGUGGGCAACGGGGGGAAGCCUGACACAGCGAUACGGCGUGGGUGAAGGAGGCCUUGGGGUUGUAAAGACCUUUUGUUGGGAAAGAACAGCAGUCGGUUAAUACCAAGCUGUUGUGACGGUACCCAAAGAAGAAGCACCGGCUAACUUCGUG
rnacentral:rRNA from 1 species